AUGUCAGCAAGUGCGACUUCAUUAGCAGCACAGAAAGCAGUGUCAGCCAAAAAUAAGCAAAAAAAGGAUUCAGCUUGGGAGUACGCAUUUUCGCCAAGUGAGCAGCACCCGAACAAUGUUGGAUGUAAUUUCUGUAAAAGUAUCUUCAGUGGAGGAAUCACCAGGAUGAAGCAACAUUUAGCUAGAUUGAGAGGCCAGGUUACUCCAUGCACACAAGUUCCUCAAGAUGUUAGGGAUAAGAUGAAGACAAUCCUUGAGGCAGCAGAACAAAAGAAACUAGAUAAAGAAGAAGAGUUGAACAAACUUAGAAGUCAGGUUCAUAUUGCUGAGGAGGAGGAUGAUGAGGAAGGUCAAUCAACCACUUUAGUGCGAAAGAGGUCUUUGACUAAAGGACCACUUGAUGGUUAUCAUGAGAAACCAGAAGAAGCUCGUGGAAAAGGAAAGAAUUCUUGGACUAGCACUCAAACCACACUAAAUGAAACAUACAAGUUGAAAGAGAAACAGAGAGCUCAUGAAUACAUUGCAGAUUGGUUUUACCAAGCUGGAAUUCCAUUAAAUGCCAUUCGCCUUAAUUCAUUUGAUUUAAUGAUAGAAGCUAUUGGACAAUAUGGCCCACGAUUGAAGAAGCCUUCUCCUUAUCAGCUUGGCACUCCUUUGUUGGAGAAUAGAGUCAGAUCACUAGAUGAAUAUGCAAAUGCGCACAAGGAGGCAUGGUCGUUGACUGGAUGCUCUCUUUUGACAGAUGCGUGGACAGAUCGGCAGGGAAGAAGCCUAAUGAACUUGGUAGCUCAUUCAGCUAGAGGUGUGUGGUUUCUCCGAGCUAUAGAUGCUUCCGCAGAUGUUCAUGAUGCUAAUUACAUCUACUCUUUGGUACACUCAUGCAUAGAUGAAAUUGGUCCAGAGAAGGUUUUACAAGUAGUGACCGAUAAUGCUUCAAAUAACAUGGCUGCAGCAAAGUUACUAAAACAGAAAUAUCCUCAGAUAUUUUGGACUCCUUGUGCAGCACAUACCAUUGAUCUAAUGCUUGAGGACAUUGGUAAGAAGCCUGCUAUCCAGAAUACAAUUAAGAAAGCAAAGUCUAUUACAUGUUACAUUUAUGCCCACACUAGAGUGUUGUCUAUGAUGCGUUCUUUUACUGGUGAUCGUGAUUUAGUUCGAGCUGGAACUACUCGUUUUGCCACUUGCUACCUUAAUUUGAAAAAAAUGUUCGGAUCAACAAAGUGGAGCGACUCUAGGUUUGCUAAGCAAAAGGCAGGAAAAGUUAUUGCUAAGUUGGUCAUGGGCAACGAUUUGUGGUCAUCAAGUUUGCGACUUAUAAACUAUUUUGAGCCACUAGCAUUUGUACUUAGAAGGGUGGGUGGAGAUGUUCCUGCUAUGGGUUACCUUUAUGGUGAUCUUGAAAAUGCAAAAAAGGAAAUUGUUGUCCGUUUUGAUGGAAAUGCAAAGAAAUAUGGUUUUAUUUGGGAUAUUAUUGAUGAAAGGUGGAACGACAAACUCAAGACUCCAUUGCAUAAAGAAGAGGUUUUCGUCGCAGCAGUUGUACAAUGCGCAGGUCGUGUGUACCAUGAUAAUGACAAAUUACAGGAUAUGAUUUUUCAACAAUAUUUAUCUUGUAAAAUUUCUAACUUAAAUUCGGUUAUAUUUGCAGCAAAUUGGUGGGCAGCACAUGGCACUGAUGCAAAGGAAUUAAGAAAGAUGGCUAUCAAGAUUCUAAAUUUGACGUGUAGCUCAUCUGCAUGUGAAAGGAACUGGAGUGCAUUUGAGAGGGUACGUACAUCACUUCCUUCAUGCAUUACCUUUUCAUGUAUAGCCCGCACCAUGGAGGCGGAAGAAGAGUCUUCUGACUGUGAAGAGGAAGAUGAUACAGCGAUGCAGUCGAUGGAUGAUUCUUCAAGUGAUGAUGGAGAGAAUGAGGACAAUUUUCUUGACGAUGACUAA
rnacentral:rRNA from 1 species